AGUCAUGUUUCUCUUCAUAUCGAUUAAAUCUUUUGCCUUUUAUUAAAGAUUUCUGUGGAGAGGAACACUAUGAGUAUUGACUGAUUUUUAAAUGACCUGUAAUAUGCAAGGCU